AUCCGUUGAUGGCGCGGUUGAUUGCCGAGCGCCCGGGAUUGCGGGUUCCGGGGGCGUGGGACGGUCUCGAACUGGCGAUUCGUGCGGUGUUGGGUCAGCAGAUU
rnacentral:tRNA from 1 species